rnacentral:lncRNA from 1 species
AGAGCAAAAUUGUUAGUGACAAUAUAAAACAAUCACGAAUUAAAAAUUGCAGAAAACCAUAAUACCAAAACUCCAUACUAAACUAUAUACUAUUAGCUAAUUACAUCUACAAAUAUUCUCAAUAAUAAUAUUUGGGAACAUAUCAUUAAGAAAGUAAAGUGAAACCACUCAAACAUAAAAAGUUUGUACAUUAAAAAGAAAAAAAACUAUAUUGCUUCCUCAUCCGCCAGUGUAGCAUCACUUGCCUAGGGAACAUCAAUCUAGAAUCAAUUUCCAUCUUCUUGUACCUGUGUAAAAAGAACAAAGUUACGGUUAUAAUAUUUACUUUUUGAGAACAUGAUUUAAGCAAAAUAUAUCUUCAAAAUUUGACCAUAAAUCUAACAUUAAUUAGUAAGGAAAAUAAUAGAAUAAAAAGUAAGUAUUGCGGAGUCAUUAUGCACCUAUAACUCAAAAUAUUAUAUAUUCUCUAGAUUGCAAAUUGUAAUUUUCUCAUGCUAAAAGUUUUUCUGAUUUUGAUGUCAUACUACCCAUAAAUUUCACUAGAAUUAUAAGGCAUAUAUAUAUAUAUGGGCGGACCUAGAGUAUAGAAUAUGGGUUUCGGGGAACGCAGUAGUUUUUGCAUAGAUCGUGUAUUUAUACUAAAAAAUUCAUUAAAUAUUUAUAAAUAUCUAACUGUGAACUCAAAUAUUAUUGCAUAUUAAUUUAAAAUUACAAUAGAAACCAAUAAGUUUCAAAUUAUGGAUUGCCUCCAAUAUAUAUAGUAUCCAACCGUCACUUUACAAAAUUAAUCAAAAAUACAUCACAACGACACAACAUAAAGCACACUAGAUUGAUACAUAUAGCAUAAGAAUUAGCAAAAGUUUUGAACAUAAUCUAACGAAGGAGGCUAGAUGCAGAAAAUAAAUACACAAAAAACUAGAAAAACAAAAAGAUCUAUUAUAGAAAGAGAGAUAAGUUUAUUUACUUGUUAUAGAGGCCUGCAAAGGUGAUGGCUGGAUGGCCUUAGGCUGGAGAAAUAUAAAGCAAUUGAUAGAAAAGAAGAAAAAGUCUAGCGUAGGGAUUUGUUGGUUCUUUCGGAGUGUAGCGUAUUUGUAAUAAAGUUGGAUUUAAG